UAGAGUUUGAUCCUGGCUCAGGAUGAACGCUAGCGACAGGCUUAACACAUGCAAGUCGAGGGGCAGCGGGUAGAUGAGCUUGCUCAUUUAUGCCGGCGACCGGCGCACGGGUGAGUAACACGUAUGCAACCUGCCCGUCUCAGGGGGAUAAUCGUCGGAAACGGCGUCUAAUACCCCGUAUGAAGCCGGACGGCAUCGUCUGGUUUUGAAAGAAUAUCGGAGACGGAUGGGCAUGCGGCGCAUUAGCUGGUUGGCGGGGUAACGGCCCACCAAGGCGACGAUGCGUAGGGGUUCUGAGAGGAAGGUCCCCCACACUGGUACUGAGACACGGACCAGACUCCUACGGGAGGCAGCAGUGAGGAAUAUUGGUCAAUGGGCGAGAGCCUGAACCAGCCAAGUCGCGUGAGGGAGUACUGCCCUAUGGGUUGUAAACCUCUUUUGUCGGGGAGCAAAAGCCGGACGUGUCCGUCUGUGAGAGUACCCGAAGAAAAAGCAUCGGCUAACUCCGUGCCAGCAGCCGCGGUAAUACGGAGGAUGCGAGCGUUAUCCGGAUUUAUUGGGUUUAAAGGGUGCGCAGGCGGAUUUUUAAGUCAGCGGUCAAAUCGUGGGGCUCAACCCCAUCCAGCCGUUGAAACUGGGGAUCUAGAGUGUGCGAGAGGUAUGCGGAAUGCGUGGUGUAGCGGUGAAAUGCAUAGAUAUCACGCAGAACCCCGAUUGCGAAGGCAGCAUACCGGUGCACAACUGACGCUCAGGCACGAAAGCGUGGGUAUCGAACAGGAUUAGAUACCCUGGUAGUCCACGCAGUAAACGAUGAAUGCUACCUGUUUGGCCAGAUUGAAGGCUGAGCGGGACAGCGAAAGCGU
rnacentral:rRNA from 1 species